GUGAAUUAGCUAUUCUCGCUCGCACUUCAAGCAGCUGCUCAAGUAUCAUCUUAUUCAGUCUUCCUGCUAGCGACAUUUCUCCAAGUAAAAAUUUUCCUUUUUUUGGCAUUUUAUUCCCAAAAUGAAAAACGAGGCUUAUUACUGACAAUAGUUAAACCUGAAUAGCUUUUGCUAUCUUUGCACCUAGGGCUCUAUUAGCAUAGAAGUAACUGGAAUCCACAUUGUCUGUGGGAUUCAGUUAGUCAGCAUUAUUGUGGUUGGUCUGCAACAUCUGU
rnacentral:misc_RNA from 1 species